rnacentral:rRNA from 1 species
GACGAACGCUGGCGGCGUGCUUAACACAUGCAAGUCGAACGGAAAGGGCCUGCUUUUGUGGGGUGCUCGAGUGGCGAACGGGUGAGUAACACGUGAGUAACCUGCCCUUGACUGUGGGAUAACUUCAGGAAACUGGGGCUAAUACCGGAUAGGAGCUCCUGCUGCAUGGUGGGGGUUGGAAAGUUUCGGCGGUUGGGGAUGGGCUCGCGGCUUAUCAGCUUGUUGGUGGGGUAGUGGCUUACCAAGGCUUUGACGGGUAGCCGGCCUGAGAGGGUGACCGGCCACAUUGGGCCUGGGGUAGGGGCCAGAGUGCUACGGGGGGCAGCGGUGGGGAACAUUGCGCAAUGGGCGGAAGCCUGAUACAGCGACGCCGCGUGCGGGAUGUCGGCCUUCGGGUUGUAAACCGCUUUCGCCUGUGACGAAGCGUGAGUGACGGUAAUGGGUAAAGAAGCACCGGCUAACUACGUG